rnacentral:lncRNA from 1 species
UUUAAAAAAAAAGUUUAAAGUGAAAAAGAGAAAAUCAAACCUAAUAUAAUUGGGUCAGGAUCACAUAAAUUAAACCUAAUGCGGGCUGCAGGCAACCCGCGGACCCCAUGGGCCAAACCCGCAUAGUCUGUGGGUUAAGCAGGACGGACCCAAAAAUAUGACAUAAGUACAUAACCAUAAACCGUUUAAAAAAAUUGGUCCGUAAUCCGCACGGACCACGGGCUCCAUGGGUCCGUCCA